UCAUUUAUAUGGUCAUUAUCAAUGAACAAUGGUGCACCCCAGAGGAGUGAACAUGGGAACACAGGUGCAUUUGGGUAUUUUUGUUUUGGCUAAAAUCUAAAUGCACUUGUGUUCUCAGGUCACCCCUUUGGGGUCACCUUGCUAUUUUUUUUUUUUUUUUUUACCUUAUACUAUUUUUUUUCUCUUCUUAAGUGGAGGAUAUCGAAAACAGUCACACUAUUCUCCCCAGACCCUACUUCUACAUUGGAGCCCCAACUAAUUUGAAUUCGCACCACACAAGUUCCAUUAAAGGAGAAAAUCUUCUAUUCGUAAGAAUUGAAUUCAAGACCACUGAUUAAAAAUAAAGAGAUUUUAUCUAUCCCACCAUAAUUCUUGAUUUAAAUAUCAUUGGAUCGGAAUCUUUUUUCAUCAGACGUUCAUCCAAAGAGCUGGAUUCCAACUGCAGCUAAAGCUUGUUUUAUUUCCGAUGGCCUUUCGGCCGAUUUUUUGGCUGAAAUUUCCAGAAAUUCCAGCAGUGUCUUGCACUAAAUACAUUUAGCUGUGUUCAAUUUUAUUUAUUUAUUUGAGAAUGAUGUAUCAUAGCAAAAUAUCUUUUUAUUCUUAAUUCUGUGACCAAUGUUCGUUCUGAUUUAUCCUAUAAAUCCUUAUUUAUAAUA